UGCCUCUCUUUGAGGAAGAGCACUGGCUCAAUGCCCGCCUUGAGGGGUAGGAGCACGUGCUGAUGGAAACGGAGCUCUGCAGUGUAACACAGGAGCAGCUGCCCUGGGAGCUGUCCUUCCUCUGGCUCCUGAGCUGAAGCUGGGCCUUGCUGCUUGUUUUAUCAGCUGCAGCAGACGCGUUGCCUUGCUCUGGGUUCCAUCACUCAGUGAAGUGGAAGCAGCAUUGCCCAGCCCCGCAUGGAGCAGCCCCGCGUUGCCUCCCAGCAACCAAAACCCCUGCUUGGCAGACCCUGUGGAAAGCAUCAGGCCAGGCAAAAACAGCAUAUACAGAAUGAAAGAUGCUCCAGGCUCUUCCUCGGCUCCACGAUAAUGAACACACACCCAGCCAGGCAAGCAGAUAGUGCUGCUCCUGCCCGGCCUCGCUCCUGGGGGCGGCUCAGUGCGUCGGAGCCGGGGCUGACCCAAGGAGCUGCGGACGGCGCCUGGUGGAGCAGGAGAAGCCCCAGUGCAGCAGUAACAGCAAGUGACCAAGCUUGUGUGGGUUGCAAGCUGUCAGCCGUAAUUAUUUUGUCCGUCCGUCUGCCCAGAGAUCUCUUGGUGCACCAGGUUGGAACGGAGGAGGACGCUUGCACUUCCAAGCAGUUAUUUAUGACCUAGGAUUCAUCUGAGUGCAGAAGCCAUUCGGAACGCCAGUUUUUCUCGUGUUGCUCACCCCAAAUAAGCAGGGGGGCAGGACAAGGCUGCUGCUCGCUGCCCCAUUCUGGGGCAGCCGUACCCCAGGGCCGGGCUCAGCUCUGGGUGCAGCUGUGCCCUGGCUCAGCACGCAGAUGAUGCACCAGGCACGUUCCCACAGCUGCAUGCUAAAAGCU
rnacentral:lncRNA from 1 species